UGGGGAAUAUUGGACAAUGGGCGCAAGCCUGAUCCAGCCAUGCCGCGUGUGUGAAGAAGGCCUUUUGGUUGUAAAGCACUUUAAGCGAGGAGGAGGCUACUUGGAUUAAUACUCUAGGAUAGUGGACGUUACUCGCAGAAUAAGCACCGGCUAACUCUGUGCCAGCAGCCGCGGUAAUACAGAGGGUGCGAGCGUUAAUCGGAUUUACUGGGCGUAAAGCGUGCGUAGGCGGCUUUUAAGUCGGAUGUGAAAUCCCUGAGCUUAACUUAGGAAUUGCAUUCGAUACUGGGAAGCUAGAGUAUGGGAGAGGAUGGUAGAAUUCCAGGUGUAGCGGUGAAAUGCGUAGAGAUCUGGAGGAAUACCGAUGGCGAAGGCAGCCAUCUGGCCUAAUACUGACGCUGAGGUACGAAAGCAUGGGGAGCAAACAGGAUUAGAUACCCUGGUAGUCCAUGCCGUAAACGAUGUCUACUAGCCGUUGGGGCCUUUGAGGCUUAGUGGCGCAGCUAACGCGAUAAGUAGACCGCCUGGGGAGUACGGUCGCAAGACUAAAACUCAAUGAAUUGACGGGGUCAUAGCUGUUU
rnacentral:rRNA from 1 species